AUACGUAGGGGGCGAGCGUUGUCCGGAAUGACUGGGCGUAAAGGGCGUGUAGGCGGCUUUAUAAGUCUGGAGUGAAAGUCCUGCUUUCAAGGUGGGAAUUGCUUUGGAGACUGUAGAGCUUGAGUGCGGAAGAGGUAAGUGGAAUUCCCAGUGUAGCGGUGAAAUGCGUAGAGAUUGGGAGGAACACCAGUGGCGACGGCGACUUACUGGGCCGUAACUGACGCUGAGGCGCGAAAGCGUGGGGAGCGAACAGGAUUAGAUACCCUGGUAGUCCACGCUGUAAACGAUGAAUGCUAGGUGUAGGGGGUAUCGACCCCUCCUGUGCCGGAGUAAACGCAAUAAGCAUUCCGCCUGGGGAGUACGGCCGCAAGGUUGAAACUCAAAUGAAUUGACGGGG
rnacentral:rRNA from 1 species